GGGGCACAGAGAGACCAAAACGAAAAAGAUAUACCCAAACCUAGUGGCCAUGCAUUCCCUUAUCCACAGAUUUCACUUCAACCGUCAUCUCUUUCCCUCAAGACCCAAAAAAAAUACUCAUUUUACUCAUGGCCUGCACCAUUGACUACCAAUUUCUCAAGUGUUUCCGUUUUGUCUGCAGCGCUGAAACUUCCUCCUCCUUCUGCAAUUUUUUCCCGAGGCGACUUCGCGUGGAGUCUUCAUCUGUUUCUCUUCUCGUUCUCCUGUGUCUAUCCUAAAUGUAUCUCUCUAAAGCACUUUCUUCAGUUGCUGUGAAGGUACAUAUGUCUAUUUCUUAAACGACCCUUCGCCAGAGUCUACUGGUCGAUCAACUCAAUUGAAGCUUGGUUUGGAUUCCUUGGGCAUAUGAAAUCCUGUAAGUUUUCACUCUCAUGAGGUCUUUAGGUGGGUUUCAUUCAUGAUUAUGUUGUACUAUUUUACCAAUAACUUUUAGAAAAGACUUCAUAAUUUGUUUUGAGAUUUC